AGCCCCGUGGUGUAGCGGUCAAGCAUAGCGGGCUUUGGACCCGCUGACGGUGGUUCGAAUCCGCCCGGGGCUA
rnacentral:tRNA from 1 species